ACUAGACAAAGCUGUUGCAGUCCUGGUGAAUGCCCUUUCCUUCUCAUCUUGGAGAGCUGCUGAAGCCAAGGAGAUGAUAAAAGAUGGAGGAGGAAAAGUGAGCUCAUUGGAUCUUGUAGCACAGGGUUCUGAGCAGGAGGGUAAACAGCCCUUCUCAGCCAGUCAGCAGGAAUCCCAGCAGGUAGCUGAAGAACUACCUACCUUCAAUGAAGAAUGCCCAGAAGCAAGACAAGAGAAGACACCAGAAGCAGCUUGGAAAUGCCAGUCAUUUCUUCAGUUUCCUCUUGAUUCCAGACCACAGCAAAAUGAGGGCAUCCCCUGCGAUAAUGAAGCUCCAGCAAAGGCAAGAGAUACAGAAAGUCCAAGUCUCAGAGAGUGCAACACACCAAAAAAGGAUUUGGAUAUGGCAUUUCCAGACCUGCAGAGCAAGAUCUGGCAGCUGGAAGACAUCCUGGAUGAGCUGAAUGAGGAGUUCUUUCAACUCAGCACUCAGGCGCUGAAACUCCAAGCAGAAGGGAACGAGCAAGGCCAAGAACAGAGCCAGGAGACCUUGUUCAUGGAAGAUAAAUUAAACAUGAGAGAAGUAGAUGAGCCAGAGAGUAAGAACCUGGGAUCCAUUGCUCCAAAAAGUGACCAGACCCUGCUUCUGGAGGUCAAGAGGACUCACUUGGCCCAGAGGAUUGAAGAUGUGGAAUGGGAACUGUCUCUCCUCCUUCAUCUUGCAGAUCCCAGAAAGCAUGUGCGACAGGGCCAACUGGACCGCCAUGCCAGUUUAGAGUUCCUUCCCUUGCAUUAGGGAGACUGUAAUUUUCAUCUACAGGUGACAUCUUCCACAUGAAGGAUAUGAUUGAAUUCCCUUGGAGAUAACAUCUUUCUAAGUGAGCUUCAACUCAAGAAGGUCUGCAAGCCAGAAACACCUCAAACAUAUCAAGAAACAAGCAGAAGAGGGAAAAGAAGACUUCUUUAUAACAUACUGCACCUAUUUGUUUAUAUAGUAGACUCUACUCAUACGGUAGGCAGUUAGGUGGUGCAGUAAAUAAAGUGACAGCCUGGAGUUAGGAAGACUAAUUU
rnacentral:lncRNA from 1 species